rnacentral:rRNA from 1 species
UCGCGGUGGCGGAGCGUCGUUUGCGACGCCCAACACACAAAACAAGCGGUGAGUGCUUUGGGGUGGGGUGACUGCGUACCUUUUGUAUAAUGGGUCAGCGACUUAUAUUCUGUAGCAAGGUUAACCGUAUAGGGGAGCCGUAGGGAAACCGAGUCUUAACCGGGCGUUAAGUUGCAGGGUAUAGACCCGAAACCCGGUGAUCUAGCCAUGGGCAGGUUGAAGGUUGGGUAACACUAACUGGAGGACCGAACCGACUAAUGUUGAAAAAUUAGCGGAUGACCUGUGGCUGGGGGUGAAAGGCCAAUCAAACCGGGAGAUAGCUGGUUCUCCCCGAAAGCUAUUUAGGUAGCGCCUCGUGAACUCAUCUCCGGGGGUAGAGCACUGUUUCGGCUAGGGGGCCAUCCCGGCUUACCAACCCGAUGCAAACUGCGAAUACCGGAGAAUGUUAUCACGGGAGACACACGGCGGGUGCUAACGUCCGUCGUGAAGAGGGAAACAACCCAGACCGCCAGCUAAGGUCCCAAAGUCAUGGUUAAGUGGGAAACGAUGUGGGAAGGCCCAGACAGCCAGGAUGUUGGCUUAGAAGCAGCCAUCAUUUAAAGAAAGCGUAAUAGCUCACUGGUCGAGUCGGCCUGCGCGGAAGAUGUAACGGGGCUAAACUGUGCACCGAAGCUGCGGCAGCGACGCUUAUGCGUUGUUGGGUAGGGGAGCGUUCUGUAAGCCUGCGAAGGUGUCCUGUGAGGGAUGCUGGAGGUAUCAGAAGUGCGAAUGCUGACAUAAGUAACGAUAAUGCGGGUGAAAAGCCCGCUCGCCGGAAGACCAAGGGUUCCUGUCCAACGUUAAUCGGGGCAGG